GACGAACGCUGGCGGCGUGCUUAACACAUGCAAGUCGAACGGUGAAGCUCCAGCUUGCUGGAGUGGAUCAGUGGCGAACGGGUGAGUAACACGUGAGCAACCUGCCCCUGACUCUGGAAUAAGCGCUGGAAACGGCGUCUAAUACUGGAUACGAGAAGGGUCCGCAUGGGCACUUUCUGGAAAGUUUUUCGGUUGGGGAUGGGCUCGCGGCCUAUCAGCUUGUUGGUGAGGUACUGGCUCAACAAGGCGACGACGGGUAGCCGGCCUGAGAGGGCGACCGGCCACACUGGGACUGAGAGACGGCCCAGACUCCUAAGGGAGGCAGCAGUGGGGAAUAUUGCACAAUGGGCGAAAGCCUGAUGCAGAGACGCCGCGUGAGAGAUGACGGCCUUCGGGUUGUAAACCUCUUUCAGCAGGGAAGAAGCGAAAGUGACGGUACCUGCAGAAGAAGCACCGGCUAACUACGUG
rnacentral:rRNA from 1 species